rnacentral:snRNA from 1 species
CUGAAUCAGGGACGGUGGUCCCAACCCUG